UCGUUGUAGCAAUACGAUGGAAGUUUUAGUGGCGAACGGGUGCGUAACACGUGGGCAAUCUGCCGGGAAGUGGGGGAUAGCUCGCCGAAAGGCGAAUUAAUACCGCAUGUGAUCAGUUAAGACAUCUUAGCGAAAUCAAAGUCGGGGCAACCUGACGCUUUCUGAGGAGCCCGCGGCCUAUCAGCUAGUUGGUGAGGUAACGGCUCACCAAGGCUAUGACGGGUAGCUGGUCUGAGAGGACGACCAGUCACACUGGAACUGAGGCACGGUCCAGACACCUACGGGUGGCAGCAGUCGAGAAUUUUUGACAAUGGGGGAAACCCUGAUCGAGCGACGCCGCGUGGAGGAUGAAGGUCUUCGGGUUGUAAACUCCUGUCAUUUGGGAACAAGGUGCACGCGUUAACUGCGCGAGUAUUGCUAGUACCAGAAGAGGAAGAGACGGCUAACUCUGUGCCAGCAGCCGCGGUAAUACAGAGGUCUCAAGCGUUGUUCGGAUUCAUUGGGCGUAAAGGGUGCGUAGGUGGCGCCAUAAGUCGGGUGUGAAAUCUCGGGGCUUAACUCCGAAACUGCAUUCGAUACUGUGGUGCUUGAGGACUGGAGAGGAGACUGGAAUUCACGGUGUAGCA
rnacentral:rRNA from 1 species